rnacentral:rRNA from 1 species
UACGUAGGGUGCAAGCGUUGUCCGGAAUUAUUGGGCGUAAAGAGCUCGUAGGCGGUCUGUCGCGUCUGGUGUGAAAACUCAAGGGCUUAACCCUGAGCUUGCAUCGGGUACGGGCAGACUAGAGUGCGGUAGGGGAGACUGGAAUUCCUGGUGUAGCGGUGAAAUGCGCAGAUAUCAGGAGGAACACCGGUGGCGAAGGCGGGUCUCUGGACAGUUCCUGACGCUGAGGCACGAAGGUCAGGGGAGCAAACGGG